rnacentral:rRNA from 1 species
AACGAACGCUGGCGGCAGGCCUCAAACAUGCAAGUCGAGCGCGCAGCAAUGGGAGCGGCUGACGGGUGAGUAUCGCGUGGGAAUGUACCUAGUGGUGCGGAACAACUCAUGGAAACGUGAGCUAAUACCGGAUGAGCCCGUAAGGGGAAAGAUGUAUCGCCAUUAGAUCAGCCCGCUACUGAUUAGGUUGUUGGUAGGGGAACGGCGUCACCAAGGCUACGAUCAGUGGCUGUUCGGAGAGUAAGAUCAGCCAUACUGGGACUGAGACACGGCCCAGACUCCUCCGGGAGGCGGCAUUGGGGAAUCUGCGAAAAUGGGCGCAAGCCUAAGCCAGCCAUCCCGGGUGAGUGAUGAAGGCCUUAGGGUUGUAAAGCUCUUUUACCCGGGAAGAUAAUGACUGUACCGGGAGAAUAAGCUCCGGCUAACUUCGUGCCAGCAGCCGCCGUAA